GGGGCCGUAGGCUAGCCUGGUAGGCUUCCGGCAUGGGGUGCCGGCGACCCGAGACGGCUACAUUUGACAGCAAAUAUGGCCACGGGAAUUCAAAUCUCGGCGGCCCCA
rnacentral:tRNA from 1 species